GACGAACGCUGGCGGCGUGCUUAACACAUGCAAGUCGAACGGAAAGGCCCUGCUUUUGUGGGGUGCUCGAGUGGCGAACGGGUGAGUAACACGUGAGUAACCUGCCCUUGACUUUGGGAUAACUUCAGGAAACUGGGGCUACUACCGGAUAGGAGCUCCUGCUGCAUGGUGGGGGUUGGAAAGUUUCGGCGGUUGGGGAUGGACUCGCGGCUUAUCGGCUUGUUGGUGGGGGAGUGGCUUACCAAGGCUUUGACGGGUAGCCGGCCUGGGAGGGUGACCGGCCACAUUGGGACUGAGAUACGGCCCAGAGUCCUACGGGAGGCAGCAGUGGGGAAUAUGGUACAAUGGGCGGAAGCCGGAUGCAGCAACGCCGCGUGCGGGAUGACGGCCUGCGGGUUGUAAACCGCUUUCGCCUGUGACGAAGCGUGAGUGACGGUAAUGGGUAAAGAAGCACCGGCUAACUACGUG
rnacentral:rRNA from 1 species